rnacentral:rRNA from 1 species
AUGAGUUAUGAGUUACUCACUUGGUGCCAUUCCACCAUUGCUCCACCACAACCCAACGACCUCUUCUUGGAGUGGUGGUCCGCCACGUCCCCUUCCUCCUGCCGAAAAGGGCUCUCUUCCCUCUUCCCUCUGACGGCAUGGUACCUUUGGAAGCAUCGGAAUGGAUGCGUGUUCGACGGUCCACACCCCUCCCUGAGCCACCACCUACAGCUCAUCAAGGAUGAAGCUCGGCUAUGGGCGCAAGCGGGUGCUUUUGGCUUGGCCAACAUCAUUAGGGAGUAG